rnacentral:misc_RNA from 1 species
AAGUCGUAACAAGGUUUCCGUAGGUGAACCUGCGGAAGGAUCAUUAACACUUAUUAUUAUCCAAUAUCAAAAAUAAAACCAAACGGCAUCUUUUCUUCUCCCUAUUUCGACUACCGGAGACGGGUCGAUUAGGCUAACCUUUUUUUUUCAAUUAUAACCCCAUUUAAUUUAUGUCUAUUUAUUUAUAGAUAUAAACAAAACCAACUCUUCUUUUGUUCAAGUGUGGUUUUACAUCACACAAACAACAAUAAGAACUAAACUAAAAUAUACAUUUGAUUAUAUUUUUAUUUUACGAAAUAAUAUAUAUUUAUAAGAACAACUCUUAGCAAUGGAUAUCUUGGUUCUC